UGUCAGUCUGGUAAGCUGACUCCCCAUCUUGUUCUGGACCAGCUGAGGUGUAAUGGAGUCUUAGAGGGGAUCCGUAUCUGCAGACAGGGCUUCCCCAACCGCAUCCCUUCCAGGAGUUCAGACAGAGGUAUGAGAUCUGACUCCUAAUGCUAUCCCUCGUACCUUCAUGGACGGGAAGCAGGCCUGGGAACUCAUGAUCAGUGCGUUGGAGCUGGACCGUAACCUGUUCAGAGUUGGGCAGAGCAAAGUGUUCUUCAGGGCUGGAGUCUUAGGUCACCUGGAGGAGGAGAGAGACCUGAAGGUCACUGACACCAUCAUACGCUUCCAGAGCGCUGCCCGAGGAUUCCUCGCA